AUUGAACGCUGGCGGAAUGCUUUACACAUGCAAGUCGAACGGCAGCACGGACUUCGGUCUGGUGGCGAGUGGCGAACGGGUGAGUAAUGUAUCGGAACGUGCCCAGUCGUGGGGGAUAACGUAGUGAAAAUUACGCUAAUACCGCAUACGAUCUAUGGAUGAAAGCGGGGGAUCGCAAGACCUCGCGCGAUUGGAGCGGCCGAUAUCAGAUUAGGUAGUUGGUGGGGUAAAGGCCCACCAAGCCAACGAUCUGUAGCUGGUCUGAGAGGACGACCAGCCACACUGGAACUGAGACCCGGUCCAGACUCCUACGGGAGGCAGCAGUGGGGAAUUUUGGACAAUGGGCGAAAGCCUGAUUCAGCCAUUCCGCGUGCAGGAUGAAGGCCCUCGGGUUGUAAACUGCUUUUGUACAGAACGAGAAGGUUUCUACUAAUACUAGGAGCUCAUGACGGUACUGUAAGAAUAAGCACCGGCUAACUACGUGCCAGCCGCCGCUGUAA
rnacentral:rRNA from 1 species